rnacentral:rRNA from 1 species
AUGAUUAUGAUCAUGUGGAACCGAAGGAGGAAAGUAGCAAGGAAGUUGGUUGGAUUGAUUCUUCCCCACAUAAUUAAGAAAUUGAACGCAAAGACUAGAGAAUUAAACUUGGAGGUGGUAGAAAGCUCAGAAGAAGUCGCUGAAGUGACAGCAUUGGGAGGCAGCGGCUUUAGGUUUGUGGUCAACUUGCUUGACAGGACAUGUUCUUGUAGACAAUGGCAAGUUUCUGGCCUUCCUUGCAAGCAUGGUCUAGCAUUUAUCACAUCUCUUAUCAAUGCACACAUAAAAAAUUAUGUGGACUUGUAUUACUCCAUUGACAAAUUUAGAGCAGCCUAUGACCAACUAAUUCCUGCCAUGGUUGACAAGAACCAAUGGCCUAAAUCUGACCAUGGAUUCUUCAUGUUUCCACCACUACUAAAAUCCACGGUGGGUAGGCAUAAAACUGAGAGGUAUAAAGGCUGCAGUGAGAAGAAAAGAAAAAGCGGCCAACACUUAUGCCCUAUUUGUAAGGACUAUGGGUAUCAUUGGCAUAAAUGCAAGAAGGGUAACCCAGAUGACAUUGCUGCUAUUUUAGCUGUGAGGUAA